ACCUGAUCAUCCUGUGGAUCUCACUUCCUGUUUUCUGUCCUCAUGUUUCUGGAUUCCUGCUCACGCUGCCUCGAGCUUCUGAUGUUGAACUUCAGACGACGUUUCACUCUCUCUGAUCCUCGACAUUCGUUAAUCCGCUGGUUGGUGCAAUCUGCAGAAAUAUUGGAUUAUCCUUCAAGACUGACGCGAGAUAUCCUCAGGAUCAAGAGAAUAACUUUGAAGAUAUGCUGCUGGUUAACAGGUAAAGGUGCAACAAAAAAAGAUGAGCCCCACUGAUGAAGAAGGCAAAGAGGGAUGGGGAUAUAAACCGAAGUAAGACAAGAGGGAUCA